CAUAGUGGAUGCCUUGCGCAUAACAAGGCUGUUCAUUUGACAACAAGGGAAGUGCAUUGCUUAAGCUCCAUUCUAGUGUCUCCUCCUCUCGUGUCUCUUGACUUGCCUGAAAGUUGGGCUCUUGACACUGAUACGCCAUCCUCUGUUCUCUUUGUUUGGCGCUUUUGCUGGUGAAGACAACGAAGAGUCAGACAAAUUGAGAAAAGCCAGGUAACUGCUACAAAGAGGCCAAAGAAUAGUGCUUUAGAAGUUGAUUUAGAUUUUGAACACAAUGCCAGGCCUCCUCCUAUAAUCACAGAAGAGGUCACAGCCUCACUUGAGGAUAUGAUCAAGAGCCGAAUCAUUGAGGUAACUACUCAAUUUGUAACAAAAGUCUCUUUUUUUUUGAGUAAGAUGGAGCAAGUGUCAAUGUCUUUUGCUUUGAGAUAUUGAUGUUACCCGAUCUGUAGUUUUUGCCAUGAUUCUCAAAGCCAUUUUUUUUGGAGAAGAAAGUAAAGUUGAUGGAAGAUGUUGCAUAGUUUUUUUAAGAAACCUUAAUUUAGAAACUAGCAUUGGAGCAUUCUUUUUCUUGGUGUUUCUUAACUAAGUUUUUAACUACAUUUAAUAUUUAAAAAGUUAUUAAAAAACU